rnacentral:rRNA from 1 species
AACCCCUGCUGCCAGUUGCAACGGGUGGAGCCGGGCACUCUGGCGGGACUGCCAUCGACAAGAUGGAGGAAGGUGGGGAUGACGUCAAGUCAUCAUGGCCCUUAUGUCCAGGGCGACACACGUGCUACAAUGGCCGGCACAGCGGGAAGCGAGGCAGUGAUGCCGAGCGGAUCCCUUAAAGCCGGUCUCAGUUCGGAUUGAAGUCUGCAACUCGACUUCAUGAAGCUGGAAUCGCUAGUAAUCGCAGAUCAGCCAAGCUGCGGUGAAUACGUUCCCGGGCCUU